GCCUUCGUAGUAUAGCUUGGUCAGUAUAGGCGGCUGUGGCCGGUUUCUCGAGAAACUUUUCGGCAGAAACCGCUUGAGGAGGGUUCAAAUCCCUCCGAAGGCC
rnacentral:tRNA from 1 species